CUGGCUGCCGGUGCUGUGUAACUGAUGUCACAGUGACAGGCGCACGCAGGGUCUAAAUUGCGUCACAUUCUGUUACAGGUUGUCUGACUCCUAGGAAGAAGGCUGGACCACCGCUUUGUUCUUGAGCACUGGUUGGCAUGUGUUGUGUAUCAUGAUAAGCGAGCAGUUGUCUGAGUGUCUCCUAUCAGCUCUCGAGCUCUGGUGGUGCCAUGAGAGUGACGACUCUUCUGUAGCGUUACAGGGAAGAGAGAAGUGAGUUGCUAUGAAGGAAGCGCAGCAACACAAACACCGGCUGGUCCUGAGCUGAGCUCCAGGGGAAGUGUGGCCAUUUACACCACUCAAAAGCUUUUCUUCUAUUAGGAAGUCUGAUCUGUUUCUCAGCGGUUACGGUUGGGUGUGCAGCUGGUGUAGAUCAGCGGAGCUCAGCUGUGCACAGGAUUGUACCAUUCGUAGCCGCCGCGCCUUUGGCCCUCGGUAAAUAAACACCACCAGUGUAUUAUUGCACAGAUUUGACCUCAUUUGUUUUGUUUUCUCCAUCUCCUUGACACAUCAUUGAGCAAACUGUCACUGAAGCGAGGGAGUAGGAGAGCACAUAAUUAAAUGUUACACAAGGAUAAUAAGGUGUGAGUAAAGUUAUUUCUAUGGUUUAACGUGUAUGCCUCUUCUUUAGUAAUUUCUUUGCUACUUGGAAAAUAUGAGCUUGGGGUAAUUCCCAGUAAGUUUGCUGUAGAUUUUCCAAAGGACCAAGUGCACCUCUUACAGAUACUUAGUUGACAGUUAAACAAUGACAUAUCUAUUAUUCAUGCUGAGCGGUCUGACAGGAGGAAUGUUGCCCUAACUUUCACAUGGUAAAUGAGGAAAGUGGAAAGCAGUGCAGCUUGUAAAAGCAGUUGGGUUUUUUAAAGGCACUCUGUCUUUUUGGUAGGCUGAUUUGGAAUAUGAUGGGUUGAAACUUGUUAGACUCAGCACUACAAUGGCAAAACUCCUUUUGAUUUCAGCAGGCCUGUAAUUGGCUUUGUGGAUCCAUAUUUAUGACUAAGGUCACGGGUAUGGAAGCCUGAUGCAGACCAGGAUUUUGUUGCUCUUUUCAGAAGUCGCUGUCUGUAAAGGAAUAAGUGAUGCUUGGCUUUCUGACAACCAGUCUUUGAUUUUUAGUGACUCAUCUGCAUGAGCUGAUAAAUCGCUGAACGUUGUGACGCCCUGUCCUGAAGGGCUGGCUUAGGAGCCUGUUGUGUGAGAGAGGAGUAGGGACAAAGGAACAAUUGCGGGUGUCUGGGGCUCUUCUCUUACUGAAGCUUCUUAAAAUUUCAUCAAAAUUACGUGUAUGCACAAAAUAGCAGCAUAGUGUGAGAUGUCUGCUUUACGUUUGACACAUUGCUUACUGUUGAAAUGUGACAUGGCUUUUGUGCACCAAAGGAAACUGGUUGCCUCUAAUGUGAACGAUGUGGUGAGCCCAUGUUGACUUAUGAUGGAAGCUGACCAAAACGAAGGGCUCGGUCCUUCAGCCGUUAAGAUCGGUGUGAUUUUUGGUGUCUGUAGCCCUGCCCAGGCCUGCGUGGCUCCGCAGAGCUCCGUGGCUCCAGAAGGCAGGAUGGACUGUGCGGGACCGGGGGCAUAGCAUGCUCUGUAUAUUCAGCCUGGCUGGCAGGACUCGUGGG